AUUGAACGCUGGCGGCAUGCUUUACACAUGCAAGUCGAACGGUAACAGGCCGCAAGGUGCUGACGAGUGGCGAACGGGUGAGUAAUGCAUCGGAACGUGCCCAGUCGUGGGGGAUAACGCAGCGAAAGCUGCGCUAAUACCGCAUACGAUCUAUGGAUGAAAGCGGGGGACCGUAAGGCCUCGCGCGAUUGGAGCGGCCGAUGUCAGAUUAGGUAGUUGGUGGGGUAAAGGCUCACCAAGCCAACGAUCUGUAGCUGGUCUGAGAGGACGACCAGACACACUGGGACUGAGACACGGCCCAGACUCCUACGGGAGGCAGCAGUGGGGAAUUUUGGACAAUGGGCGCAAGCCUGAUCCAGCAAUGCCGCGUGCAGGAAGAGGGCCUUCGGGUUGUAAACUGCUUUUGUACGGAACGAAACGGUCUUGGUUAAUACCUGGGGCUAAUGACGGUACCGUAAGAAUAAGCACCGGCUAACUACGUGCCAGCCGCCGCGGUAAGAC
rnacentral:rRNA from 1 species